rnacentral:rRNA from 1 species
AUACGGAGGGUGCAAGCGUUAAUCGGAAUUACUGGGCGUAAAGCGCUCGUAGGCGGCUUGUUAAGUCGGAUGUGAAAGCCCCGGGCUCAACCUGGGAACUGCAUUCGAUACUGGCAAGCUAGAGUAUAGUAGAGGCAAGUGGAAUUCCGGGUGUAGCGGUGAAAUGCGUAGAUAUCCGGAGGAACAUCAGUGGCGAAGGCGACUUGCUGGACUAAUUCUGACGCUGAGGAGCGAAAGCGUGGGUAGCAAACCGGAUUAGAAACCCUGGUAGUCC